UAAAUGGCGGAGACUUUUCCCUAAAUGGGUUACUUGAUUUAAGAGCUGCUGGCUAAUUUUGGUCGGAUAAUUUAAUAGAAGAGGGAAGAGGAAAGGAAAGAAAGGGGCUUGAAGAAAGAGGAAGAGAAAAGAAACACAAGGAUGGAGAACAAGGAGAGACCAUUUGAAUAGAAUGCAACUGAAGAAAUGGCUGGUGCAAUUCAGCAAGUUCUCAAACAGUAGCUGCCACUUCUAGCUGGGAGAGAAAUGAGAGCUCUGCUCAUGGUGAUCCAGUAUCUCCAGAAUCCAUCACCACUGCUGACCUCCCACUCCAUGUCUCCAAGUGCUCUGCUAUACCUGCCACCAGCAGCUGCCACCUCCAGACUUUGGAAGGUUAUAAUAAAACCUCUGUUCUACGAUCUGCCUUCUGCUUCAACAUCCUCACUCCCCACAAACAAUUCUAAUAAACAGCAAUUAAUCUGAA
rnacentral:lncRNA from 1 species